UGGGGGAUAUUGCACAAUGGGGGAAACCCUGAUGCAGCGAUGCCGCGUGAGGGAAGAAGGUUUUCGGAUUGUAAACCUCUGUGGAGGGGGACGAUAAUGACGGUACCCUUAAGGAAGCCACGGCUAACUACGUGCC
rnacentral:rRNA from 1 species